AUGCAAAUGAAAACUAACGGAAUGGAAUGAUUCGAACUACUUAUUAUUAGAUAUACUUUGAUUGCAUUGGAGUGAUAAAAAUGGAGAGUCGAACUACUUAUUAAUAUAUAUACUUUGUAUUUUUAAUAAAAUAAUUCGGAUAAACACUUAUUGGUAUCAAACACGACUGACAGAUAUUUAUUGUAAUGUCAAGGUAUUAAAACAAAACAUACCUUAUUUAAUUUUCAGUUUAAAGUUUGGAAAAACUAUUGCAAUUUUAAGUGACAAAAUAUAUAAGAAAUGAAGCUUCUUAAACCGCAUUGGGUGCAUCAUGAUGAAAAGCCUAUAUUUUCUGUGGAUAUUCACCCAAAUUGCUUGAAAUUUGCUACCGGAGGUCAAGGAAAUGAUUCAGGCCGCGUUGUCGUUUGGAAUUUGUUGCCAGUUAUAUCCGAGGAAGCAGAGGAAGAUGAAAAUAUACCAAAAAUACUUUGUCAAAUGGAUAAUCAUCUAGCUUGUGUGAAUUGUGUUCGUUGGUCAGAAAAUGGCCAAAUGUUGGCUUCAGGCUCUGACGACAAAUUAGUUAUGAUUUGGAAGAUGUGCAAAGGUCCAAGUGGAGUAUUCGGAACAGACGGAAUAACCAAAAAUCCUGAAAGUUGGAAAUGCAUAUAUACACUUCGAGGACACUCUGGUGACGUUCUAGAUGUAGCUUGGUCUCCUGGAGACAGAAGGCUCGCAAGUUGUAGUGUGGACAAUUCAAUUAUAAUUUGGGAUGCUCAGGCUUUUCCUACAAUCAUUAGUGUUCUUAAAGGUCACACUGGUUUGGUAAAAGGAGUUGCUUGGGACCCGGUAGAAAAAUUUUUGGCGUCACAGAGUGAUGAUCGCAGCAUAAAAAUUUGGAAAACAAGUGAUUGGAAUUGUAAUAAUACUAUAACAGACCCUUUUGAAGAGUGUGGUGGUACUACACAUAUUUUAAGGUUAAGCUGGUCUCCUGAUGGCCAGUAUUUAGUAUCUGCUCAUGCUAUGAAUGGUGGUGGACCUACUGCUCAAAUAAUUGAACGAGAAGGUUGGAAAUGCGACAAGGACUUUGUUGGGCACCGCAAAGCAGUUACAUGUGUUCGAUUUCACAAUUCAAUUUUAAAAAGGCACGCACCGAAAACGAAAAAAUCUCAACAAUACUGUUGCCUUGCUGUAGGAUCGAGAGAUAGAUCUUUGUCGGUUUGGAUGACGGCCUUACAACGGCCAAUGGUUGUAAUACAUGAUUUGUUUCAGGAUAGCGUUCUGGAUUUAUCAUGGGGCCCAGAAAAGUGUGUCCUUUUGGCAUGUAGUGGGGAUGGAACAGUCGCUUGUUUGCAAUUUUCCGAAAAAGAGCUAGGAACUCCAUUGUCGGAAGAAGAUAAGAACAUGUUGUAUCACCGCAUAUAUGGUAAAAGUGCGUCCGCCUUUGAAAAUAACAAUGCAAACGACCGUGAUAUGGUUAUUGAAAACUCUGAGUUACUAGAAUAUGCACAAGAAAAGCACAAACCACCGGUUUUGCCAGUAUUGAAAUCUGUAAACAAAGCAGAUUUGGACAAUUUUUCGACAGAAACGACACAAAAUCAAAUCACAAAUGUUCAUUUAAAAACUGCAAUCAACAAGCAAAUCGAAACUAUAACAGUGGAUGGUAAAAGAAGAAUAACACCAGUUUUUAUUCCUCUUAGCUUGGAAGGGGAAAAGAACAUAUCCGAAUUUAUUAGUUCGUCCAGAAUAAAUUGUACAGUCCCAAAAGAAAAAAUCCAUAAUCUCACAAAAACUGAUCAAAAUACUAUUUCUGCUAAAAUAACUACUGUUGAAAAAGCACAUUUGGACAAUCGUCUGACAAAAACAGUAAUUUCUGCUCCAGCAAAAAGUUCAGGCAUAUCAAAUUCUAUAAUCACUCAAACUAAGCAAAUUCGUCAAAAUUCAAUUAUCAAUGUACCAAACAAACUUAACAUAAUACAAAAUCAUUCCAUUAGCUCAUGUAAAACUUCCAACGAAACUUCUAAAAUUGCCGGCGAUUUUCGAGUUUUUGUUAAAAACUCAUUUUUAAAAACAUCUGUUGGAGCUUUGUGCAGGGUCAAUGCUUUGUUAUUGAGUACUGGUGAAAAGUUAUGGGAAAAAUUAAUAGGAUCUGCAGUGGCAAAUUUCAGUGUUUCCGUGAAGUACGUUAUGAUUUGCACAUUAGACGGAAAUAUAAGAUUUCUCUUUACUAAAAAUGGAAGUGUCGUUGUUCCGAUUUUAUCAAUAUCUACAGCAGCUACUCAAUGUGCUUUUUGUCCAUCAGGUAAAUUAGCUGGUGUUAUAUCUGAAUGUGGUUCAUUGAAAAUUUGGAAUGUUGAGGAGAAAAAAAUCUUUAUAUCCGCAUCAUGUUCUGAAAUGUUCAAAAAGUGUGGUCAAGUAAUUCAAUUUAGCAUUACUGAAAGCGGAACACCAAUUGUUUUGUUUUGCAAUGGUACUUCAUACUCGUACUCUGAGACAAUGAAGUGUUGGUUAGUUUUAAACUCCCAAGAUCCCGUUAUAAUGCAUGGAUUGCAGUCUACUAUACCAAAAGAUUUACAGAAAAAUUUUGCAAAAUAUCCUCUUAUGUCCGUCCAAGCUGCUACAUUUGGUCAUCAAUCAUUUUUGGACAUCAAUUCAAGUAAAUUCCUUUCCGGGGCAAAAUUAGAUUUUAUAGAAAACCAAAUCAAGUUAUCUGAAUUAAUUAAUGCUCCCGAUGAAUUAAUAUAUUGGUAUUCCAUGUUAGGCUACUUUUUGUGCACUGAAGGUACAGAAAAAAAAAUGCGGAGUGUACUGGAUGAUUUAGCAAAAACAAGCAACUUGUAUUCAAGUCAUUCAAACUAUUGUAAUCGUGUUUUGGUCAUCUGACUGUUCCAAUCUUAAUAAGCAACAGCUCUUUAUUUCUGGGAUACUUUUCGGGUUCAAAAGUUUUUUUGCUUCAAACAAGCGAUAUCGGCUUGUACAAGCGAUAUCUGAUUUCCUACAUAAAAAUUUAGAGGGUUUUGAAGUCCCACUAAAAGUUGCAUCGUGGAGGUUACACAAUUUGUGCUAUUAAAGACUUCUUCGAGCAAUAUCUCCCAAACAUCAGGGAUUCUACAUUCUACAACGCACAAAGCAUAAUGGGAUUGGGUUAUGGAGUCUUUUUAAGUUUGAACACAGAAAAAUGUAUGUUUUUGAAAACUAUUUUAAAUAUUCUAAAAUCCCAUUCAAAGUGGCAAAGAAUUUAUAUGGAAUACAAUGAGCAAUUAAACUUGCAACAAACUGAUCAUAUAGAAGAAAAUAAUAGUAUA